AUGUCGACUUGGAGGUUGUGCCCUUGAGGCGUGGCUUCCGGAGCUAACGCGUUAAGUCGACCGCCUGGGGAGUACGGCCGCAAGGUUAAAACUCAAAUGAAUUGACGGGGGCCCGCACAAGCGGUGGAGCAUGUGGUUUAAUUCGAUGCAACGCGAAGAACCUUACCUGGUCUUGACAUCCACGGAAGUUUUCAGAGAUGAGAAUGUGCCUUCGGGAACCGUGAGACAGGUGCUGCAUGGCUGUCGUCAGCUCGUGUUGUGAAAUGUUGGGUUAAGUCCCGCAACGAGCGCAACCCUUAUCCUUUGUUGCCAGCGGUCCGGCCGGGAACUCAAAGGAGACUGCCAGUGAUAAACUGGAGGAAGGUGGGGACGACGUCAAGUCAUCAUGGCCCUUACGACCAGGGCUACACACGUGCUACAAUGGCGCAUACAAAGAGAAGCGACCUCGCGAGAGCAAGCGGACCUCAUAAAGUGCGUCGUAGUCCGGAUUGGAGUCUGCAACUCGACUCCAUGAAGUCGGAAUCGCUAGUAAUCGUGGAUCAGAAUGCCACGGUGAAUACGUUCCCGGGCCUUGUACACACCGCCCGUCACACCAUGGGAGUGGGUUGCAAAAGAAGUAGGUAGCUUAACCUUCGGGAGGGCGCUUACCACUUUGUGAUUCAUGACUGGGGUGAAGUCGUAACAAGGUAACCGUAGGGGAACCUGCGGUUGGAUCACCUCCUUACCUUAAAGAAGC
rnacentral:rRNA from 1 species